AUUGAACGCUGGCGGCAUGCCUUACACAUGCAAAUCGAACGGUAACGGGCCUUCGGGUGCCGACGAGUGGCGAACGGGUGAGUAAUACAUCGGAACGUGCCCGAUCGUGGGGGAUAACGAGGCGAAAGCUUUGCUAAUACCGCAUACGAUCUACGGAUGAAAGCAGGGGACCGCAAGGCCUUGCGCGGACGGAGCGGCCGAUGGCAGAUUAGGUAGUUGGUGGGAUAAAAGCUUACCAAGCCGACGAUCUGUAGCUGGUCUGAGAGGAUGAUCAGCCACACUGGGACUGCGACACGGCCCAGACUCCUACGGGAGGCAGCAGUGGGGAAUUUUGGACAAUGGGCGCAAGCCUGAUCCAGCCAUGCGGCGUGCAGGAUGAAGGCCUUCGGGUUGUAAACUGAUUUUGUACGGAACGAAAAGCCUUCUUUUAAUACAGGAGGGUCAUGACGGUACCGUAAGAAUAAGCACCGGCUAACUACGUG
rnacentral:rRNA from 1 species